rnacentral:rRNA from 1 species
UUGCACCUACGGGAGGCAGCAGUGGGGAAUAUUGCACAAUGGGGGAAACCCUGAUGCAGCGACGCCGCGUGAGUGAAGAAGUAUUUCGGUAUGUAAAGCUCUAUCAGCAGGGAAGAAAAUGACGGUACCUGACUAAGAAGCCCCGGCUAACUACGUGCCAGCAGCCGCGGUAAUACGUAGGGGGCAAGCGUUAUCCGGAUUUACUGGGUGUAAAGGGAGCGUAGGUGGCAUGGUAAGCCAGAAGUGAAAACACGGGGCUCAA